AUUGAACGCUAGCGGGAUGCUUUACACAUGCAAGUCGAACGAGUGGCGGACGGGUGAGUAAUAUAUCGGAACGUGCCCAGUAGCGGGGGAUAAGUACUCGAAAGAGAGGCUAAUACCGCAUACUUUUGGCGAGGCCGGUUUCGGAUUAGCUAGUGGGUGGGGUAAAGGCUCACCAAGGCGACGAUCCGUAGCUGGUUUGAGAGGAUGACCAGCCACACUGGAACUGAGACACGGCCCAGACUCCUACGGGAGGCAGCAGUGGGGAAUUUUGGACAAUGGGGGAAACCCUGAUCCAGCCAUCCCGCGUGUACGAGAAGGCCUUCGGGUUGUAAAGUACUUUUGGCAGAGAAGCGGUAUCUGCAGAAUAAGCACCGGCUAACUACGUGCCAGCCGCCGCGGUAAUAC
rnacentral:rRNA from 1 species